UGUAGGGUUCGAAAACAACUCAACGCAGACAGAUUCUGAGGAAAGCUAUCUCCCCAUACCAGAGACUCCGCAGGCUGAAGCUAACGAGACUUGCAAGUGGUUGUCAGAACCCUUUUGCAUCUAUAUCUGGAUACUCAUUGCUGUUGCACUGUUUUAUGGCAUACCUGCAGCACAGCUGGUCUUUUCAUAUCAAAAGACCUUACGCCAAACAGGGGAUGAAGAUUUGUGUUAUUACAACUUUGACUGUGCUUUCCCUUAUCAGAUUGGAGCACUGGAAUUCAGUGCCUUCAACAACAUCCUCAGUAACAUUGGCUAUUUAAUAUUGGGUCUUCUUUUUAUUGCUAUUGUGAAAAUGAGGUAAGAAUUGUGUAU